AACAUAUGUAGUACACCUCUUAAAAUGAAAAGGUAAAUCCAUAAUAGCACUGAACUAAAUUCUUAAGAACAGUAUAGAGUGGUGAUAUUUAUGCAAUGCAUCAAGCUGACUGCUGCUAGCGCGCUACGUCUUUAGCUUCAUGAACUAUGAUAAUGGACAAAGGCCAGAAUAAAUAGGACCGCAAAAACAUCGCACCACAUAAAACAGCCAGUCCAGUCAUAUGGUGACCACGGUUACUUCUUAAUCUUCUCUAUGCAUAUAGAAAAACUAGGCAUUGUAAGUAACUAAAACUGUAGCUACUGCUGGCCUGCUGCUGAUAAUGUUUAGCCAGGAGAAGCAGUCAUAUUAUGACUUGCUAGUAGUGUACUAAAACUUGGAACAUCUGCUUCACUCAUCACCCAAUCCGGCCCUCGCCUUCAAAUGUAGCUUGAAGUCCAUAAUGUCACCCUUCCACCGUGUCACAGUUUUAUUUUCACAUACCCAUAUCUCAUG
rnacentral:misc_RNA from 1 species